rnacentral:rRNA from 1 species
AUUGAACGCUGGCGGCAGGCCUAACACAUGCAAGUCGAACGAGUGGCGGACGGGUGAGUAAUGUCUGGGAAACUGCCUGAUGGAGGGGGAUAACUACUGGAAACGGUAGCUAAUACCGCAUACCAUCGGAUGUGCACAGAUGGGAUGAGCUAUUGGGUGGGGUAACGGCUCACCUAGGCGAAGAUCCCUAGCUGGUCUGAGAGGAGGACCAGCCACACGUGAACGGAGACACGGUCCAGACUCCUACGGGAGGCAGCAGUGGGGAAUAUUGCACAAUGGGCGCAAGCCUGAUACAGCCAUGCCGCGUGUAUGAAGAAGGCCUUCGGGUUGUAAAGUACUUUCAGCGGGGAGGCGUUACCCGCAGAAGAAGCACCGGCUAACUCCGUGCCAGCAGCCGCGGUAAUAC